CAUACUCAGAGAUCAAAACAUACUCUUUUAUCUCAAUAAUAUUCUAAAAUAUUUAAUAAAAUUUUUACUUUAAUUGAUUUAUGAAAUUUGUGUACACUAAAUUGAAUUUUCAUUUUGAUGUAGAAACUUUUAAACUUUUUAUUCGUAGAUUAAUUGAUGUAAAACAAUGAACGUGUCAUUAAGAUUUUGUUGUUGGCAGAAUUAGAUAAAUUGGUUGAUUUUUAAUUAUAUGAAAAUACAUAUUUUACGGACAGAAUAGUGAGAACACAGAAAAUUGCCCGGAAAAAAGGCUACAUAAUAUUUUUAAUUCAACCGUUUGAAAAGAUAUAUGAUACCAUGUUUUUUUCAUGAUACACAUGGCGAAUAUAAAGCUUAAUUCAAGCUGGCGCUCAAUUACUUAAAUAGCCAUGUUUAUGUAAAAUUUUUAUUUUAUACCUGUUAAUUAUGUUUGAUUAUGUGCUGUUUGUGCGUUUUAAGUCGUAGUCCAAGCAGCCCAUUAUCAGGAAAUGCAUAGGUAAUUGCUGACAAAGCAAGGAGAAUCACAGAUCAUGAAUCAUUGAUGCUGAAAUGCAUCAAAUUCAUUUUUAUUCUUGUAAUCUGAGCUUCUAGAAAACGAACGUUCAAAGUUAUUUGUUUAUGUUAUAAUUUAUUAACGGAAAAUAUAUAAUUGAAAGCAAUAGAUUUGGCACCUGCUAUAAGAAAUACGAUUCACAUGGGUGCAUAUACGUAGAUGUAGAAUACACGUAUAAUACUUCUAGAUGUCAUUGUCAGUUUUCUUGACAAAGUCUUAUGAGCGAAGCUAACGUGACUUGAAUCGCUAUCAGAAUCAAAAAUUCAAAAAGACUUUUACAUUACUUCUUUCUGCCACAUUUAGACCAAAUCGUAACACUAUCAAAUUAAAUGUUACCGCAUUUAGAUUUAUCAUCUAAUUGUCAGAUAUCAAAUGCUAUUUAACAAGUCAAUACAUUUUGGUCCGUCAUAUAGGAAAUUUAUGUUUCGUUAUUUUACAAAACGUACUUAUAAGUCAAAGUUAUGGCUAGACUAAUGUAAAUGAAUAUAUAAUUUUAACAGUUAAGGUAUGAAUGUGGACUACUAGUAGCUAUAGGAGCAUGUUUAUUGAAAGAUUUUUAAGUUGGGGGUUCUUAGCAGAAUAUAAAAAACCGUCUCUUACUUUUAACUAAAAAAAGUUAAAAACCGAUUCUUAAAUAAGAUAUUUAACUAAAAAAGUUAAGAAAAUUUCUUAUACUCCGAUAAGAACCCGAACCUAAAAACUUUCCCAUAAAUAUGCUCUACACAAACCCGUUUGGCAGAUACCCAUGUUCGAAAUUUCGCUAGGCACAACGCGUGCGGUUGACCUGGGCCUAGUGCCGAAUCAAUUAAGCGGGAAUUGAAGGGGGAUUAAUCGGCGCCUAGUUUUAACACUAUUAUACAUUUAAUGUAAUCUAUUGUCAAUAUAUGGCGUGUGGUGUGGUGGUUGGGAACGUUUUGUAACACCGAGAAGUCACCGGUUCGAAGUAUAUGUAACGUAAUUGUACUUUUUUACACUUUGCUUUAUUAAAUGUUAAUUACAUUAUUGCCACUGUCUCUUUCCCCAAUAUUUCUGCAACCCUAGUCGUGUUUCUUCUCCAAAUACAGAUUGUCCUUCAUUUUUUUUGAGUUUUCCUGAUGUUUACAACAUAAAUUAGUCAAUUAAUUUCGAUUUUGGAGAUCUGGGAUCAAAAUUAUUAGAUUCAAACAGUUUGGAAUAGAGAUUUUGUGCGCUGAUUUCUUCAGUUCUACGUUGAACUCGGAGAAACGUCGGGUCACCGCCUGGCCACCCCGAUCAGACCCUUUUCGCUACGGUGGCCACACGAGCAGCGCCUGUCCGGCCGAGAACUCGGUUAACGCGGCGCGUUUUCGAACACGGGCAGAUACCAACGUGAAGAAACAGAAGAAUAAGCAUAAACGGACAUCAAUCACCUACACAACCAAUCGAGGGGACAUUUAGACAAGCAACACAAUUGCUACAUAGAAGGGAGUUUCUGUAUGUCCCUUCGUAAUUACGAGAGCUUGUAAGAAUGUGUGAUGCUUGAAUGGUGAAGAGACAAGAGUCAUGAAACUUGGUCGGUUCUAGAGAAACAAACGACAUUGCAGCAACAUGAAGGCAACGAAUAAGCAAAUAGAUUGUGAUCAAAACCUUUAUACAUUGAGAAAAUAAAUUCAACAAGGCAGAAAACAAUUCAUAAGCAUGUCACUAGAUUGCACUCUGAUGAUUAUGGUCCAGUCCAAUUGAAAUAUAAUUGAUGAAAAGGGGCUGGUAUUGCUCAUA